rnacentral:rRNA from 1 species
CGAAUGGGGAAACCCAGUGUGACUCGUCACACUAUCAUUAACUGAAUCCAUAGGUUAAUGAGGCGAACCGGGGGAACUGAAACAUCUAAGUACCCCGAGGAAAAGAAAUCAACCGAGAUUCCCCCAGUAGCGGCGAGCGAACGGGGAGGAGCCCAGAGCCUGAAUCAGCAUGUGUGUUAGUGGAAGCGUCUGGAAAGGCGCGCGAUACAGGGUGACAGCCCCGUACACAAAAGCGCAUGUGCUGUGAGCUCGAUGAGUAGGGCGGGACACGUGGUAUCCUGUCUGAAUAUGGGGGGACCAUCCUCCAAGGCUAAAUACUCCUGACUGACCGAUAGUGAACCAGUACCGUGAGGGAAAGGCGAAAAGAACCCCGGCGAGGGGAGUGAAAAAGAACCUGAAACCGUGUACGUACAAGCAGUGGGAGCACCCUUUGGGUGUGACUGCGUACCUUUUGUAUAAUGGG